UUUAUUUUCCUAGAGAAUCAAGGGUACGACUUAGGGCUAUUAUUUUGGUGGUGAGUUUAACAAUUCUUCUGCUGCGUUAUUGACAGGUACGGUAAUAUGUUCUCGCCCUGCAAUUUAAUCGAACAAUGGUAUCAGAGUCAGGUUAUUUGUUCAUGUUUGUUGGUUGCCUUCAUAAAAUACUAUGUUUGGUAGAGUCCCUUAUUUAGUAUCCAUCGAAUUAUGUGAUAACAGUGUGUGGGCGUUAUGGCUAAGUUGUGGAAAUGAAAUAAAUAUUUUUUAAUUGAUUGUUUUGUUUCUUUAAAUAUGGAAUAAAUAAAGUAGAAUUGCAGAUUUCUCUUUAACUGUCCCGUAUGAUUUUAGUGUCGUAUGCGUCGAAGAAAUUGGUUUAUUGCCGGUAAUAUGCACUUUGUGAUUUCUUUGGUAAUCCAUGAUUUACGGAGAUGAAAUCUGUAGACUCAAAGCUAAACAUAUAUUUUCUUCUACGUCCUUUUAAUGACACAAGGAUUCAAAUAUUCAUGGUGCCUUAGACUAAUGUGAAAAAUUAACAGUGGGAGCUUUCCCAAUUAUACUAGGAUCCAAAUACUCAUUAUUCUUUCGGACUGUUAAAUAUUUUUGAGUAUGUAAAGCAAACUUAGUAUUUAAAACUAAAAAGAAUAAUGGUUGCAGUUAUAUUGGGGAUCGUUUGCGAAAUUGAAGAUAAAACCAGUUGAUAUUUUUUUAAGGAGAACAGUUGUUGUGCCUAUAUUUUAUUCUUUUGGCAUCACAGACAGUAAUCUCUUCAAGAUAUAAGUAUUCAUAAAUUCUUUCCUUGAAUAUAUCUAAAGUGAAGGAUAGAUCAUUAAGCACUUUCUUAUUGCAGUAAGUUUGAAAGAUAUUACUAUAAAGUGCUUAUUUGUAUCUUUAUCUUGAAUUCUAAAGUAUUUCAGGAAUGAGUUUCGUUAGGCCAAAUGUACCAUAUGAUACCUUCUAACAUACCAAUGGAAACUAUUUAACUGAAUGAUUGUUUCUUUUUCAGUCAUGUUAUCAGUGGUAUCUUUCUUUGGAAAGGUUUUUGACUUAUCUAACUACGUAUUGCCCUUUCAUAAUUAAUAUACAUAUAUUUCAGAAUAUGCCAACUCAAUAUUAACAUGAAAGGUUCUUCAUCUCUUGGUCAUGUUUCAGUAGUUGAACACAUAGGUGUUAGUUACCUCACUGACAAUUGCAUUUUUUUAUUUGGCCAGUGGAUAAAUCUUGAUUUCUUAAAUAGAAAAUUUUGGUUAGUCCUAAUCUCUUAAAUUGAUAUACUUCUACAAGUUAUUGUGAUAUAUUUGCAAUAAUGAAUGGUUGUAGCCGUUCUAAAUAUUUCCUUGAUCCUAUUUCAGACAUGGCUGGACAGGGACAAGCUCGAAAAAUUUCAAGUGGGAGUUCUCGAAGUCGAGCAAGGAGACAACAUAGAAGGAUGCGGCGUCGCAUGACGUAUUUCUGUAAUGAUUUAGACUUGGAGCCUGAAGUCAUCAGGAAUGUCGCGAGAGCGAUGCAAAAUGAGUUAAGGGAUCGAAGGGUUAAACGAAGGGAAGGAGAAAGAAAUUUAGGAAGUUUAAAGAAUUCAAAAUGGGCCCUGAUAUUUCCAUUCCUGAACAUUUCUACCUUUUUCAGUUAAAAAGAGCUGAAUUGUCUAAUUAUAUAGAGAUUGCUAAUUGGGAAGCGUUAGCUAUU
rnacentral:lncRNA from 1 species